rnacentral:lncRNA from 1 species
GAAACAGGAGGUAUUUACACUGCAAAAUAACAUUCAACUCAUCCUAACUGGUUAUAAUAUUUGUUUGAUAGAAUAGUGAUAGAAUAGGAAAUCUUGAUAUUUAUAAUAGUUACCCAAUGAAAUGACAAAUAAAAAAGUUGAAUUUUAAGAAUAAUUGUCCUAAACAGUGAAUUUACAUUAUAAAUUAUUUCUUUUUCUGUUUCUAGAGCUUCUCAUAUU